rnacentral:rRNA from 1 species
UACGAAGGGGGCUAGCGUUGUUCGGAAUUACUGGGCGUAAAGCGGGCGCAGGCGGUCUCUCAAGUCAGGGGUGAAAGCCCAGAGCUCAACUCUGGAACUGCCCUUGAAACUGUGAGGCUCGAGUACGGGAGAGGUGAGUGGAAUUCCCAGUGUAGAGGUGAAAUUCGUAGAUAUUGGGAAGAACACCGGUGGCGAAGGCGGCUCACUGGCCCGUUUCUGACGCUCAUGCACG